rnacentral:rRNA from 1 species
UACAGAGGGUGCGAGCGUUGUCCGGAAUCACUGGGCGUAAAGGCGCGUAGGUGGCCCGACAAGUCAAUGGUGAAAGCUCGACGCUCAACGUCGAGUCGGCCACUGAUACUGUUGGGCUGGAGCACUGUAGAGGCUCAUGGAAUUCCGGGUGUAGCGGUGGAAUGCGUAGAGAUCCGGAAGAACACCGGUGGCGAAGGCGGCCUGCUGGGCAGUAGCUGACGCUGAAGCGCGACAGCGUGGGGGAGCGAACAGG